GCCUUGUUCGGUUACUAGAGAUUUAAUCCCCAAGGGGAAUCAAUCCAGGAGGGAUUGAGUGAAUCCCUCUCAUGUCACUCAAUCCCUGUUGGGGAUGAAUCCCUCCCUACCCACUAAUCCCCCUCUCAAAUCCAUGUGUUCGGUUUGGUCACGAUCAACAAUAGCAGGAUUGGUGCUUUCCUGCUUCAACGCUGCUAUUGAGUUGAUGUUCAGCUUGGCAGUUUAUAUGCAUCAACUUCAGAGCAUCAAACGGAGGAAGCAUCAAACAUAGCAACGUAAUUUGCUAAUAUCUUAUCGUACAAAUAAAAUAUACUCAGUGGAGUAAUUACUGUAAUCUCCAAUGAACAUCAAAUGUCACUUUUGCUUUUCAGUCGAAACAUAGCAUUAUCUAAUAUAAGUUAAGAAUAUCGAUCAGUCCUAGCUUCUAAAGUCUAUGCUUAAUAAAUAUUUUAGACAUAUUGAAAGAAGUGCAGUGCAGAUGCAUAAUUGAUCCUUCAGCGCCCCUGCAACAAAAAGAUCCUUACAGCCUUCCAGUUCCAUAAUUUACACCAUCAUCAGCAUCUUCUCCAACUGUCAUCACAGGAGAAUUACGAAAAAUUAUGUAAGACCAUAAUAGAGCUGAUUGAGGAUAUGUAUAUGGUAAUUUAAAAUUCCAGCAAUUGACAACUACUUGUGGGUAACCCCAAAGAGAGGUAGAUUAUAACAACUAAAAAUUAAGCAUUAUCUAAUAUAGUUUUGAAUGGAAGACCAUACAAACUACUUGCAAUUUUCUGAAGUUUAACCAUGUUCAGAACAAUGAUCCAGAAAUUAAGCAACAUGCUCCUAUGCCCCCAUGCAUCCAUAUGGUGACAUUGGUAUACACAAAUACCAUUAACUUUAAUCUACAGUACUUCGAGGAACUUAUGCAAGCAUUGCCUUUUGCCAUGCCACACAAACAAAAAAUGAUUUUUUUUCUUCUAAAAAUAGCAUAUAAGCUAGUUGUAAAUGAUCAUCUUCAUCAUGCAUGAUUAAUAUUCAUAAUAACACUUUAGACAGAAACAAAUUGACAUAGGAAUUAUUAUAUUCACAUCACAAAAAUUAAUAUCUUGUCAACUUUCAGCAUUCUUAAACAUGUUGCACAUGACAUGAAGUAUAAUCUUAUGAAAACAUGUUGAACUGAACUAAUGCAACAAUCCAUUUCUUGUUGUACAUACAUAAAAUAAAACCAGUGAACAUUAUAAUGCACAAAGUUUCAGACUCAAGUGUAUAACAGAUAUAUGGUGAAUGUAGAAAAGGAUGAACACCUCAACCUUCUUCUAGUUUCUCUCUCUAGAAAUUAGAACGUGUGGAAGCACAAUUCAGCCUUGAAAACACUAAACACUUGCUUGCUAGCUACUGGUAAUAGAGUGUGACUCUGAAAUCUGAACUUACUUUGUAGACAGAUCCAAAACCACCUUUUCCAAGCAAACUUUCACCUGAGAAAUUAUUAGUUGCAUCUUUUAUGUUAGAGAAAUCAUACAGUUUAAAGCCCAAGUUGCCCUCUUCUAACCUCCAGAGAGUUAUUAUAUUCUGCAUUGCCAUGGACAGCCUUCGCAGCUCCGAUCUUACUCACCACGAGUAAGAACUCACAGGGAAAUGCAGCAAUCAAGAACUCACCACGCCCAAAUCAAGAACUAAUGAUAUGGUUUAGGACGUGCGGCGGCGGCGGUGGCGAAUCAAGAACUCAUCCCCACCCAACCAAGAAAAAAAGCUCAUUCCCCAUCUGAUCAAGAACUCACUAAUCCUCACCCACAUCAAGAACUCACCAGAUCGAGCAGAAUACGAGGAGGACGACGACGAAUCGCGGCGACGACGGGAAAGGGAGAAAAGAAGAAAACCCUAACCCUAUCUUUGGAAGAGGAGGGGAGAGGGGAAAAGGCUGCGUGCUCACCGGAGAGAAGAUGGCGGCCGGAGGAGAGCGCCGUGUCGUCGCCGUCGCCUCCGCGUCGCGCCGCCCCCACCGUUGCGCCACCUCGAAUCGCCUCCGCGUCGUGCUGCCGCUACGCGUGUUGCACGUCGCCUCCUGGCUCCCGUCGUGAGGAAAUUUUCCACGCCACACGAGAAGCUGAUUUUUUCCCGGGCCUAGGUGAGGGGGAAAGGCCGGGAUAGGCCGGGGUAAAACCCAGACUGGGCUUAACCGAACACACAAUUUCGGAUGGGCCGGGAUUGUUUCCUCGCCGGGGUGAUCCACGGGGAUCGGUCCCCGAUCCCGGCCGGGAACGGCCCAACCGAACAAGGCCUAAAAGUGGUGGAAGUAUUUCUUCAUGAUUUCUCCAUGUAUGAAGGACUUGUACGAAAAAUAUGAAGGAGUUUGCGUGUCCUGCAUGCAUGGCCUCACCGCCCAUACCAGUUGAUAAAACCGGACACGAGGGGACCUCUUGUUUUAUUCAAACAGGGCAAUGACCGUUGGAAUAGAGUGCUGCCAGUCUCCCUUGCCCAAUUGAGAAGCCCUGCUCCGAAUGGAGCACCGUGUCAGUAUCCCAAGGAGCAAAAAAAAUUUUGAAAAAACGGAGAAAAAGGAGAUGGUUAGGGGAGUUAUUGAUUGAUGAUGAUCCAGACGAAUUGAUUGGCUCUUUUGAUGCAAACGUUGAUGAUAAUAUGCAUGAAGAUUUUUCAACCAUGGUUGCUCCUCCAAUCCAUGGAGAAUAUACAAGUCUUUUGUUUGGACUUGAUCAAGAUGCCAUGGCUGCUCGGAAGUUAUAUUUUGAUUAAAUAUGAAAUUAUGGAACAUGUAAGGAGUAGUCGUGCUUUGGUAAUUAUUUAUUGACAUGAGACUGUAGUUUUGCUGUGCCAGCAGCCUAGACCUUCUUUGUCUCUGUAUCUAGAUACCCUUUUAGCAGCCAGCUGAGAGCCUUGGUGCUCCUCGUGAUUGGUUUGAAAGCUGGAAUUCUGGAAACCCCGUCAGUUUGUAUUUUCCUUUUCCCUUUUGUUUCUUUAAAUACUGUAUGAACUCUUAUGCUUUCAAGUAAAAGCUGGACGGGGUAACCGUCUUUUGUCUAAAGAAAA